GAUAAAUACAUGAGGGGCCAGGAACCCUUCUAGGUCAUGGGUCACAGAAAUGAGAGGGAGCGCAAAGAAGAGGUGUCCUGGGGCCUUACUAGUGAUCCUGGUCAUUCAUCUUUACUUGGCCAGCGGGCAGCUCUCUGUGGAGCAGAGCCCGGAAUGGCUGGAUAUCUCCGAGGGGCAGAAUGGCACCGUGACCUGCACUUACUCGGAAACCAUCAACAGUUUACACUGGUACCGGCAGGCUCCAGGGGAGCGGCCCCUUUUCCUGCUGAUGCUGUUCGGCAAGGGGAACGAGACACAAGAACCGAAUUUCACUGCGGAUCACGAUCCGGGGCAGAAGCGGAGCUCCCUGAACAUCCGCGGCUGCCGGCUGGGGGACACCGCCCGCUACCUCUGCGCCGUGGAGACACAGUGACACAGGGGGCAGCGUAGCCUGUACAAUAAC